UCAAAUUUCUGGGAGGAUUGACAAAUUGAGAGCUCUUCCUUGAUUCGGUGGAUGGUGAUGCAUGUCCGUUCUUAGUUGGUGGAGCGAUUUGCCUGGUCAAUUCCAAUAACGAACGAAACUCUAGCAUCAAAUAGGUGCGUGGUUCUCUGCACCUUGCACCCUUCUUAGAGGGACAAGCGGCUCCUAGCCGCACGAAGCAGAGCAAUAAGCAGGUCUGUGAUGCCCUUAGAUGU
rnacentral:rRNA from 1 species